rnacentral:rRNA from 1 species
AACGAACGUUGGCGGCGUGGAUUAGGCAUGCAAGUCGAGCGAGGACAGCUCGGUAGCAAUACUGGGCUGAUUCGAGCGGCGAAAGGGGCAGUUAUGUGUGGGUAACGUACCUCCCGGUUUGGGAUAGCCACGGGAAACUGUGGGUAAUACCGAGCGACGUCACUGUGGCGCCUGUCACUAUGACCAAAGGUCCGCCGCCGGGAGAGCGGCUCACAUGGUAUUAGCAGUUGGUAGGGUAAUGGCCUACCAAGGCAAAGAUGCCUAGCAGGUGUGAGAGCACGACCUGCGCCACUGGCACUGAGACACUGGCCAGACACCUACGGGUGGCUGCAGUCGAGGAUCUUCGGCAAUGGGCGCAAGCCUGACCGAGCGACGCCGCGUGUGCGAUGAAGGCCUUC